AGCUUAUUGGCUAAAAACUGUGCGAUAGCUAAUCAAUUUGCAGCCUUUCUGUUAGAGCAGAGUUUACGCAUACGUUUCUCGUUAGAGAAUCGGGCCCCUGAUAGUAGAUAAUACUAAAAAGAUUUAGUAAAAGAAAAUCAAAAUGUUCUUAAAUAUAUCAUGUAUAUCUGAUGCGUGUGAUUUUGGUAACAAAUGUAUCAAUUAUUAUUAAUGAGCAACACACGACAAAAAUGAAAAUAAAAAUCUACUACGAUUUACAAAUUAAUUCUAGCUCCUUGCUAAUCGAUUACACCUAGAUCUAUUUAUCAUUAAUAUAUUUUAAUGUUGUCAAAAUAUACGGCUAACGAUAUGAUAAAUAAAUUGCCGAUUUAUCCUUCUAGCCAUUAUAUUUUUAUAAAGUUAGAACUUCUCUGAAAGCGUACGCUGAUGCAUUACACACAUUUCAAAUGUUUGAUUAUAUAUUUGAUUACACCAUGGUCCUUAAACAUCUACGUUCACUUUCGCAGAGCUUACAAGAUUAUGUCAAAUCGACCUGGGCCUGUGAAAGUAUGAAGGGAUUCACGAAACUGCACUACGAGUACCUGGACAAACAGAGAUAUGGUCUCAAGCACGGUUAAGACCGUGGUCUCAAUGUAUGUAUGUACAUGGACAACACUAUUAUGCUAGUAUGCAACAAACAUCCCCCAUAGUCGGCAAAGAUAACAUACAAAAGUUCUGGCUAAAUCUGUCACCUUCAGAACAUAUAGUACUUAUAUUUCUGAGAGGCGGACCCAAAAUGCUAAUAUAUUCGCACCAUAUACUCAUGCACUCUUGACUAUAAAAAUAUCAGACGAGUAAAAAUAUUCGAAAAUAUUAGAUCCAUUACAUUUUAUUCUGUACCUCGAUUUUUGUGAUUUAGAUUUUGAUGAAAUUUCUGAAUUCCUGAAUUUCUUGUCACGCCUAAAUAAAUUCUCUUAUUUCAAUAUUUGCGUGUCAAGAUGAUAUCGGUAUUUUUAUUCACUAUUUGUCUCACAAUAAUACACGAUAUUAAAAAUUUCUUAAAUUAAUCUUCCCGUCUGUAACAUGAUAUGAAAUAUUAUGGAAUAAUAAAGCUUGAAAUAUGAAAGUGUAUUACAUUUGGCAAAUAGAUCCAUAGAUAGACAACCGCAUGAUUCUAGUCAAGGUUGAUAGCUAUGUGAAGUACGAGGGGUACUCCAAAUUGAAGAUCAGUCAACCUUCAUAAUCAUGGCUGUAAGAAAUCAUAAAUGACUCUUCUAGGAGUAAUUAGUCAAAUAACUACCAGUCUAAUAUAAAUUAACUGAUGAGACUGCUAGUUAUAAUUAUAUUAUGAUAGUUUUAUAAACAGCAAUAGUUUGUAAACUGCGAUAAUUUGCAAAGAAAAUUUUGUAACAUUUUAAAAUUAUAUUUUUAUAAAUUUGUAUAAGUUUUUAUAAUAAAUAUCAUAAAACACUAAUACAAUGUGUAUGUUAUAUUAUUUGUCUAUGAUAAUAGAGUAAAAUAAGAUACAAUUCUGAUAAUACACAUUACUAUCCGGGGCAAAGCUAUGAGUCAUUCAAACUGGAAAAAAAAACAACAUAAUUCGGUAAUUAUUUUUAUUUUUGCUUUCAAUCUUAUAUCAAUGUAUAAAGCAAUAUUAAAAUUUUGUAUUAGUAAAUCAGUACGUUGGUCGAUUCUUGAAGAGAGUAAUUUUACAUCAAAAAAUUAGAAAUAAAUACGAGAGAGUAUAAAUAGACAUAAAAUUACUAUAAUACACAUUAUAUAAAACAUUAAUUUUAGUUAUCUCUUUCAAUAAUACAAUUUCAUUCGAAUAAACGUCUGGUGACUAAAAUUUAUUCGUAUAAACUAUUAUUCGUUUCUGUUGAGCAUGAUUCUUUUGACGAAAAGAAGAGAAAGGAGAGCUUGAUUAGUUUAUCACAGGUACAAAAACAUAUUUAAAGAAACUUGGGAGAUUGGAUCAAAAGAAGAAAUACAUUUACAUGAUUAAGACUACUAGUGAAUUCAAUGUAUACUAUGUAUACUACUAGCUGUAACGUAUGAUAUAGGCAGUGUCAUAAGAAAUAGUUCAUCGAUGACUUAUUUCCUGUAUCUAUUGCAUUCUCCUUUAGUAUCGAGCACAAGCCGAAUGAAGUAUAAGCCUGAAAACCUCCAUAAAAUCAGUCCGGUGCAUUAUCAGGGCAAUAUAGCUUUACACAGUCGAUGUAUUAUAAACUACAAAACUUAUAGCUUACUUGUAUCCUCCGCAGAGAUGCACACAGCCGACGCUAACGAGCAUCUGCGUGGAACUUUGUAAUAUUAUAUCGUCAUAAACAAUAGAAAUUCAACUGCGUAUACGUAAUAUUUACUAAAGCUUAUUCAUUUCUUUUUGUUUUUUUUUUUAAGAUGUAAAUGCGAUAUGAAUCAUAAAUACGGAAGAAUAAGUGCGAGUAACAAAUGCAUGGAUUAUUUAAAAACUUCGAUUGCGUAUGAUAGCAGUUAAAGAAUACUGUACAAAGACACAGAUAAUACAUAUCGUAUAUUAUUAUUUGUCCGUUACUUUGUUCCGGCUCUCGCUUCAUUCUGACAUAACGUGUUUAUCGAUUAAGACGCACUUCCCAUAAAUUAUUGUUACUGAAUCAGUUCACGGUCCACAUGGAUGUCUUCAGGCGAAUAUUUCCGCUAUUGUGCCUUUGGAAGAACCACACCAUCAUGGUUUCCAUACCAUCAUGGAUAAAAACAAAGCACACGACACUCAAAAAUUGUUUGAUUAGUUACAUUCGAUUUUGUGGCUUGUUUGAAUAUAAUUUUA